rnacentral:rRNA from 1 species
AGGAGGAGAUGACGGCGGUGAAGGGGGUGAAGGGGGUGAAUUCGGAGGGGCCGGCCGGGCGCGGGGGCUGCUGCUUGGGGGCGGGCCUGGGGUUAGGGUUAGGGUUUGAGGGGCGGGAGGAGGAGGUGGAGGCGGAGGGGGGAGGGCCGGAGCCGAGGACGUGGGAGGGGCCCUUGAAGGACGGGGCGGAGGAGGAGGUGACCUUCUUCAUGAGAUCCUUCAUCUUGUCCUUCAUCAUGGAGGCCGGCGGCGACGAGGUGUAGGCGGCGGAGGAGGAGGAGGAAGAAGAUUGGCGUGGACGGGGAGUAGGCUUGGUGGUGGUUGUCUUGUCUCCGCGGGGUUCGUUCGAGGGGAAGAAGCAACGCGAGGGGGGCGAAUUGAUAAAGAAGGAAGAGCUACGGAAGUACGGAGGUGGAGAUCCAGCUGGGAAAUGAAGCCGGG